CGAGGUCAUCCGAGCAGUAACAACGAACCGUGAGAAGUCAGCAGAGGUCAUAGUAACCGGGAAGGGAAAAAAAACAUCGACAACCUGGUGAAGGAC
rnacentral:ncRNA from 1 species